GACAGAGGCCUCGAGCGUUAGGCGGAAUCACUGGGCUUAAAGCGUGUGUAGGCGGAUCGUUAAGUACCUUGUGAAAUCCCACGGCUCAACCGUGGAACGGCUGGGUAUACUGGCGGUCUUGGGCCAUUCAGGGGCGACUGGAACAAGCGGUGGAGCGGUGAAAUGCGUAGAUAUCGCUUGGAACGCCGAAGGUGAAAACAGGUAGCUGGGAGUGUGCUGACGCUGAGACACGAAAGCCAGGGGAGCGAACGGG
rnacentral:rRNA from 1 species